AAGUGUGCUGUUCAAGUCUUGUGACUGUUAAAAGUAUUGAUUUGCACUUAAUUUGCACUCAAAUUUAUCUAUGUUUAAGAGGCUAUGUGGAGUGCAUUCUAAUAACUGUUUAAUUAUUCUUUUAGAUCAUAGAUGUCAAGCACAUUGAUAAUAAAUUAUAAACAAGGGUUUAAACUCUAACUACAUGUUUCUAAAUUUGCAUACCAGACUUUAUGAGAAGUCAUGUCAUUUGAAGAAAAAGGAUGAUGACUACACAGUCAACAAGGUCCCUUGUUUGAAAACCCGUUGGCUGCUACCUGUGAAUCUCCCUUUUUACUUCCUUAAAUGGGCCCUCUUAAUUGAGGGUAACUCCUUCGCUGCUGAUCAUCUACUGGACCCGACUUCAUCCAUUGGUGAAAGCUGACCAGAGAAUGCUGUAAUUCAAGACUGAAAAAUUGUGUAGUUGCUAGAUAAAUUCCAAGUGCAUAUCUGGGCUCCCUUCUUCAGUGGCCCCGUUUCCCUAACUAACCAGUAACCACUAACCAACGCCCGCCGGUCGUUACUCACCCGCUGUGAAACCAGGAGGAGGAGAGAUGUCUGGUCGAACGGGAACUUGCAAGGUGCAUGAUUCAAUUAAAUCUGUUCGAGGGUCAUGAGUCUAAGCUGGAAGCCUACUAUGAUGCAUUGCUCUCAUAAUAACUGCUCCUCAGCUCUCUUCGCCCUUUUUCCGGUUUCUCUUAACCAUGGCCAGGAAUUAAGAAAAUUAAAAAUACAUUAUAUUACACCUACAUGUCGUCAUUUUAUUAAGGUUAAUUCAAAUUAAAAUACCUUAUAGUCUAGUUUUGGUUGUGCUUAAACUAAACAGCACCAGCACCACACAUCUUAAUUUCGAAUUCAAACCAAAUAAACCCUCACAAUAACACUGCGUCACUACUUGUCAAAAAACCUAUUAUAUAGAUCGGGUUGCUUCAAUGCGCUCAUUUUGUUCAUCUCGUCAGAAAUCUUUUGAUCUUUGCAAAUAUUUGCAAUCGUUAGAGCUGCUUUAAGUUCCCUAUUGGCCGCCAAAAGUUCAC